CCCUUAGAUGUUCUGGGCCGCACGCGCGCUACACUGACGAUGGCAACGAGUUUUUCCUUCGCCGAAAGGUGUGGGUAAUCUUUUGAAACAUCGUCGUGCUGGGGAUAGAUCAUUGCAAUUUUUGAUCUUGAACGAGGAAUUCCUAGUAAGCGCGAGUCAUCAGCUCGCGUUGAUUACGUCCCUGCCCUUUGUACACACCGCCCGUCGCUACUACCGAUUGAAUGGUUUAGUGAGGACUCCUGAUUGGCGCCGCCGCCCCGGCAACGGAGCAGCGGACUGCCAAAAAGUUGUUCAAACUUGAUCAUUUAGAGGAAGUAAAAGUCGUAACA
rnacentral:rRNA from 1 species